rnacentral:misc_RNA from 1 species
UUGAGAAGUAGGUGAAGAUU